rnacentral:rRNA from 1 species
UACGUAGGUGGCUAGCGUUGUCCGGAUUUACUGGGCGUAAAGAGCGCGCAGGCGGUCGUUCAAGUCGCGUGUGAAAGCCCCCGGCUCAACUGGGGAGGGUCACGCGAUACUGAUCGACUCGAAGGCAGGAGAGGGUAGUGGAAUUCCCGGUGUAGUGGUGAAAUGCGCAGAUAUCGGGAGGAACACCAAUGGCGAAGGCAGCUCGCUGGGACGGUACUGACGCUGAGACGCGAAAGCGUGGGGAGCAAACAGG